GGCCUUUUGGCUAAGAUCAAGUGUAGUAUC
rnacentral:piRNA from 4 species